CCUACGGGCGGCUGCAGUGGGGAAUAUUGCACAAUGGGCGCAAGCCUGAUGCAGCCAUGCCGCGUGUGUGAAGAAGGCCUUCGGGUUGUAAAGCACUUUCAGCGGGGAGGAAGGCGGUGAGGUUAAUAACCUCAUCGAUUGACGUUACCCGCAGAAGAAGCACCGGCUAACUCCGUGCCAGCAGCCGCGGUAAUACGGAGGGUGCAAGCGUUAAUCGGAAUUACUGGGCGUAAAGCGCACGCAGGCGGUCUGUCUAGUCGGAUGUGAAAUCCCCGGGCUCAACCUGGGAACUGCAUUCGAAACUGGCAGGCUAGAGUCUUGUAGAGGGGGGUAGAAUUCCAGGUGUAGCGGUGAAAUGCGUAGAGAUCUGGAGGAAUACCGGUGGCGAAGGCGGCCCCCUGGACAAAGACUGACGCUCAGGUGCGAAAGCGUGGGGAGCAAACAGGAUUAGAUACCCGAGUAGUC
rnacentral:rRNA from 1 species